UGAGGAAUAUUGGUCAAUGGGCGCAAGCCUGAACCAGCCAUCCCGCGUGAAGGAAGACUGCCCUAUGGGUUGUAAACUUCUUUUCUGCACCAAGAAUGGUUGCUACGUGUAGCGAUUUGACGGUAGUGCAGGAAUAAGCAUCGGCUAACUCCGUGCCAGCAGCCGCGGUAAUACGGAGGAUGCAAGCGUUAUCCGGAUUCAUUGGGUUUAAAGGGUACGUAGGUGGCCAAUUAAGUCAGUGGUGAAAUCCUGCCGCUUAACGGUAGAACUGCCAUUGAAACUGGUUGGCUUGAGUACAGUUGAGGUAGGCGGAAUGUGUAGUGUAGCGGUGAAAUGCUUAGAUAUUACACAGAACCCCGAUUGCGAAGGCAGCUUACUAAACUGUAACUGACACUGGGGUACGAAAGCGUGGGGAGCGAACAGGAUUAGAUACCCUGGUAGUCCACGCUGUAAACGAUGCUCACUCGCUGUAUGCGAUACAUUGUAUGC
rnacentral:rRNA from 1 species